AACGAACGCUGGCGGCAGGCCUAACACAUGCAAGUCGAGCGCCCCGCAAGGGGAGCGGCGGACGGGUGAGUAACACGUGGGAAUUUUCCUCAAGGUACGGAACAACUCAGGGAAACUUGGGCUAAUACCGUAUGAUGCAGAGAUGCCAAAGAUUUAUCGCCUUGGGAUAAGCCCGCGUCAGAUUAGGUAGUUGGUGGGGUAAUGGCCUACCAAGCCUGUGAUCUGUAGCUGGUCUGAGAGGACGAUCAGCCACAUUGGGACUGAGACACGGCCCAAACUCCUACGGGAGGCAGCAGUGGGGAAUCUUGCGCAAUGGACGAAAGUCUGACGCAGCCAUGCCGCGUGAAUGAUGAAGGUCUUAGGAUUGUAAAGUUCUUUAGCCUGUGACGAUGAUGACGGUAACAGGAGAAUAAGCCCCGGCUAACUUCGUGCCAGCAGCCGCGGUAAUGUCUGUACU
rnacentral:rRNA from 1 species